UCAAUCAGGGGGAUAGCCCGAAGAAAUUCGGAUUAACACCGCAUAAAAACACAGUACAGCAUUGUACAAUGUUCAAAUAUUUAUAGGAUUGAGAUGGGCAUGCGUGUCAUUAGCUAGUUGGCGGGGUAACGGCCCACCAAGGCGACGAUGACUAGGGGAUCUGAGAGGAUGACCCCCCACACUGGUACUGAGACACGGACCAGACUCCUACGGGAGGCAGCAGUAAGGAAUAUUGGUCAAUGGAGGGAACUCUGAACCAGCCAUGCCGCGUGCAGGAAGACAGCCCUCUGGGUCGUAAACUGCUUUUAUUCGGGAAUAAACCUACUUACGUGUAAGUAGCUGAAUGUACCGAAGGAAUAAGGAUCGGCUAACUCCGUGCCAGCAGCCGCGGUAAUACGGA
rnacentral:rRNA from 1 species